AGUCCAUGUUAUGGGUACUUCUUGAGUAAUCCUUUAAAUCUCUCAUACGCUUUAUAAAGCGACUCAUUUUCCUUCUGAGUAUAGCAGGAAAUAUCAGCCUUAAGCUU